rnacentral:rRNA from 1 species
UACGUAGGCAGCAAGCGUUGUUCGGAGUUACUGGGCGUAAAGGGCGCGUAGGCGGCCAUCUAAGUCAGACGUGAAAUCCCCCGGCUCAACCUGGGAACUGCGUCUGAUACUGGAAGGCUAGAGUUUGGGAGAGGGAUGUAGAAUUCCAGGUGUAGCGGUGAAAUGCGUAGAUAUCUGGAGGAAUACCGGUGGCGAAGGCGGCAUCCUGGACCAAUACUGACGCUGAGGCGGCGAAAAG